rnacentral:rRNA from 1 species
AUGGUUCAAAAGUGAAAGACGGUCUUGCUGUCACUUAUAGAUGGAUCCGCGCUGCAUUAGCUAGUUGGUAAGGUAACGGCUUACCAAGGCAACGAUGCAUAGCCGACCUGAGAGGGUGAUCGGCCACACUGGAACUGAGACACGGUCCAGACUCCUACGGGAGGCAGCAGUAGGGAAUCUUCCGCAAUGGGCGAAAGCCUGACGGAGCAACGCCGCGUGAGUGAUGAAGGUCUUCGGAUCGUAAAACUCUGUUAUUAGGGAAGAACAUAUGUGUA